UUGGGAGAGAGCCGGAGUUACUACUCCUAUCAUCCUGGAGGACUGGCUGGGGAUGGAGCUGCUGGGGGCAUAGACCCUGGAUGUUGAGUUCUGGGGGAUAUCUUGUGUGAAGACUCCACUGCUGCUGCCCACCAUGAGAUGUUUGGGGGUCAUCCUGCUCCUUGUGGACGCUGCUUUCACCUUGUCAAUGAACUCUCCGGAACUGAAUGACUGCGUAUCAGCAGAGGAGCUGUGUAGGAAUGAUCCUCUGUGUAAUAGCACUUACCAAGUGCUAAAGAACUGCUCUAGAGCGGACACAUCGGCAUGUCAAGAGGCAGCUGAGCUGAUUCCUCAGACUCCCAUCAUCCACUGCAAAUGUCAUCAUCGUAUGAGGAAGGAAGAGCAUUGUUUGGAUGUUUAUUGGACUGUGCAUCCUGACUUUAAAGCUGAUCUUACAGGUUACCUGGUUUCAUCUGACUCUCCUUAUUCAGAUGAGUCAGAAACAAAAGAGGAAAGAAAGCAAAAUCCCUUUUUCGAUUCUGAGCCUGACCUCAGCGAUGCCUCCAACGCUUGUAUACAUGAGGCCAAUAUUUGCAGUUCAAUUGAGAAGUGUGAAACUCUGAAGACCGAAUAUGUCAUGCACUGCAGUUCCAUAAAAUCUGAAGGUUCCUGUGAUCGACGGAAAUGUCACAAUCACCUCAGAAACUUUAUUAAAAAAAUCCCCAUGGAAUUUACCAAGCGACUCCUAUUUUGCCCCUGCGAUCAGGAUAAAAGCUGUGGAGAUCGCCGACGCCAGAUUAUAGUGCCCAAAUGCUCUUUUGAGGAAAAGGAAAAGAAAAACUGCCUGUCACUUUACGACUCCUGCAUGAGCGAUACCUUGUGCAGAUCUCGUCUUUUGGACUACCAGAAACAGUGCCGCCUGUUUGAGAAAAACAGAGAAGGCUGUUCUCCAGGACAAUUUGAUCCAUGCAUAAAGUCCUACAUUAGGAUGAUUGGUACUUCAGUCACUCCCAACUUCAUUAACAACUCAAGCAUGGACACAUCACUGUGGUGCACCUGUGAAGGUAGUGCUAAUAAGCUAGAAGAGUGCGAGGCCUUCCUUGGGAUGUUCACUUCCAACAAGUGUCUCCAAAAAGCGAUUAGCCCAGACCUUAACCAAAGCCUCCCAAUGACAUUAAAUGAUGACCAGAAAAGUCCCACUGAUGGGAAAAGGGAUACUGAUUUAGCUGUCCUCGCUGAAAAAAAUCAGAAAACGCCGACUUCUCAUUCACUGCCAGGUGCUGCAGCUCCAUCUUUCACACUGCUUAUGUGGCUGUUCAUAGUGGUGUCAUUUAUGUGACAGAAGACCAGGAAGGCCUACAAAGUAAAUUGACAGCACAAUAAUCAUGGACAUGCCUGGCAUAGGAAAAGACAGCUGGAAAACACACAAGUGUGCUUUUUUUCACUCUUGGACUUAAAAGCUGAAGAUGAUUCACAAGGCAAUAAGACUAGGUGGUAUCAACGCACAAAGCCCACCCACAUGCAGUGGUCUGGAGAGUGCAUGGGCUAUGUAAAGUACCACGCGUGACCUGUUCAUUGAAGCUGUAGAUGUUGGAGAGUUGCUCCUCAGAGUGUCUACAACCAAAGGUAACUCAAGCAUUUUACCAGAUGCCAAGAAAGUAAUCAGGACACAGUCAUGUGGACGUGGCAUCUAGAUUCAUACUAUGUUCCUGCUAAUGUGACUGCAAGCUCUGCUCACUAACUAUACCAAUAUUAUAUAUGAAAGACUAUAUUUGUAUAUUAUAGUCAAUAGAAAAAUAAGGCAACUUACAUUGAUGGGCUUUGCUUGUAGAUUUUCCAUCAGCACCCUAAACAAGAAGCAUUUAAUGUUCUUUCAAGCUUUUCUUCUAGACACAAUGGUCUGAAAAAGGCAUAUUCUAUAUAAAGAGAUGAUUCCUUGGAAGAUUCCUUGGAUUGUCAGAUGAGAGUCAAUCUCAUUUUAUGAGAAUUCUUUCAGCUACUAUUUUUUUUACUUUCCUUUCUAUCUAUGGUUCCCCAGCAUUUGCAUAUCUUCAUAUACUGUAAAUGCGUGGAGAGUGGAGACUUAUUCAUGUAUACAUCCAGUAACAACUGUAAAAGUCUAGUUUUGGAGGUGGAAACAUAAGACUGUUAUUAUUAAGCAUAAGACUGUUAUUAUCUGGACAAAUUAGUUCCAGCUCAAGGGUAUUGGCACAUGAAAGCAUUUUAAAAUGACAGAGGUAAUCUUUAGCCAUAUAGCAGUAUAGGCCUGUUUACACUGGCCAGUUAUCCUUAUGGUUUGUUGGCCUCCAAGCAAUUGUAUAAAUAAUUUACCACUGUAAAUUAGAGAAAUAUCGGCAGUAAAUAAUAAAACGAUAAUUUAUGGUUGAUUUUGAUUAAUUGUGCCACCUUAAAAAUCAUCAUUGUUGGCAGCACGAAGGGUAAAUGUAAAAGGCACAUUAGGCUGCCUUGUGCAUGGGUCUUGUGAGAGCCGUUAACAGGCAAGAAUAAUGUUCCUUUUCCGUUGGGGAGAAGUUUCCUCAGAUCAUUAAGAAGGACUUCUUAAUUCACUGAUCAUUAAUAUGUGGUUUAUAAAGGAACCUUUAUGGAGUUGUCUCAUUAAUGGCAACUUCUGUCCAGAUGUGGAGAGCUGGACUCGAAGAGCGGUUCUUUGUUCUGGUUGAAUGGUUGCUAUGCAAUACUACAUUUCACUUACAGCACAUCGGGCCAGACAUGUCAUCCCUCAGUGAUAAUAGCUGAUCAUCCAGGUUGGUGGGGGUUACAGAGAAGUCAGGCCAUCAGUGAUGAGCUGAUCAUUGUGCCAGAUUCUGUUUAUAAAAGGGAGACAACUUCUUUGAGGAAUGUACAAUAAUAAAUGUACAGAAUUUGUCCCUUUAGAUGUAUGCCCCAAUCCACCACCUCCACCAGCGGUGGGCAGGUUAUAGAGAAGUCAAACCCGUGGUGAUCAUCUGAUCGCUUGGUUAGCUUCAGUUUUUUUAAAGGAUUCUCUCCAUAAGCCAAAUAGGGACUUCAGGGUUUCUGGGAUUUUUAUAUUGAUCACCUAUACUCAGAAUAGGCCAUCAAUAUCAGAUCGGCCAGGGUCUAAUACCCUGCCCCCCUGCUGAUCAGCUGUUUGGGAGUAGCCCCAGUGGUGGAACUACACAGCUCUGUCCAUUAUGUAGUGGACAUAGCUGGUUACUGCAGUGCCGCACCCAUUCACUUCAAUGGACGCAGCACCCAAGCUUCUUCCAAACAGUGGAUCUGUGGUGGUGCGGGGUAUCUGACCCCCACUGGUCUUAUUGAUGGCAUGUCUUUAUUAUAGGACAUCAGUAUAUAAAUCACGGAAAUCCUCUUUAAGGUAUGUAAAGAUAGAUAUAUACAGAAUUUGACCCUUUACGUCUAUGUCGUAUUUAUAAAUUAUGGUGUCAUAUGAUCACCCUAUCUACAUAGAAAAAACAGCUAUUCUCCAUGACUGAGUUUUCUGAAUAGAUAUCUAUCACUAAACUAGUGCUGUAGUGAAAAUAGUUAUUGGAUCAGACAUUUCUUGAGAUUGUUUUUUAGAUGAGAGAUUAUUUCAAAAGAACACCCCUUUGCCCCCCUGAACAGCCCUUUGCAUUAUACAUGUUUGAAUUUCAGGGUUGGUACAAAGAUUUGGGUUGUUUGCAUCUCAGGUUCACAUCACGUUUUAUGCCUCCGUUUGACGUAUACGUUAGAAGAAAAAAAAAGGCAGCACGCCAUGUUCUUUUUUUUUACAAUGGUAAAAAAA